UACGUAGGGUGCAAGCGUUAAUCGGAAUUACUGGGCGUAAAGCGUGCGCAGGCGGUUCGCUAAGACAGAUGUGAAAUCCCCGGGCUUAACCUGGGAACUGCAUUUGUGACUGGCGGGCUAGAGUAUGGCAGAGGGGGGUAGAAUUCCACGUGUAGCAGUGAAAUGCGUAGAGAUGUGGAGGAAUACCGAUGGCGAAGGCAGCCCCCUGGGCCAAUACGUGACGCUCAUGCACGAAAGCGUGGGAGCAAACAGG
rnacentral:rRNA from 1 species